ensembl:lncRNA
GUCAGAUUUCGAUGAAGAUACAAAUGAACAAUUUCCACUGGAUUCUGAUGAGACAAGCACAAGACUUGGCGGGAAAGCAUUAAGGGUUCCUGUCCAGUGUGUCAAAUCUCACGAUCCUGAGGGUCCAGUGCCACAACAGAGACUGACCCAGGAAACUGGGAAAUGUGACUCGGUUGAGUUAAAAAAAUCUUCUGAAGUGACACCCGGCAUAGCCACCCUGCCAGAAUCUAAACUGUCCGAAGGUAUGGAACUCGUAUGUAAAUUAUGGCAAAAUUUACUUUCACGCAAUACUGUUUGACAGUAGGAAUUGCUAAGUAAUUUCAUGUUUUUGGCAGGCAUUUUCUGUGAUGUGGAGGCCUCAGAAAAUGUGUCUUCUCUUCAAGAGAGAACUCUGCAACCGUCCACAAAUUUGCAGCAGGCAUUAGACAGGUGGUCUACGUUCUAUAUAGACACUGUCCCAAAGAUAGGCAGGGAUGCAGCAGACAGUACUGUUAUCGCAGAUUCCACAAAUGGAGGUCUCUCUUCUCCUUCUGUACAUGAUCCUAGCAAUUCAUUGACUAAACAUCUGAUAAAGACACCUGGAAAGGCCCCAUACCCAGAGUGCACGAUCCUGUGUGAUACAGAGAUGGAGCUCACCAUUGGUGAUAAUGCUGCUAAAAUCGAUGCUGUGGAGACCAGACCCAAAAUUCCUCAAAAAACUGGUGAAUUUAAAUUGAGGCAGAAAGAGGAGGCCCAAGCAAGUGUUUCAUCUUUUUUGGGAAAAGAGAAAAAGAAAGUGCAAGACAACAAGGCUGCUCAUAGAGUCGAGUGUCCUAAGGGGGACAAAAGUGCUCUGGUGACUGAGACUGAGAACUCAGAGCCUGACUCCUGUGCUUUAUUCAAUCCUUGCAGUCCUGGCUGUGAGAGAGAGGAGGUCCAGACCAGAGUAUUUGACUCUGUUGCAGCACGUAGAAAGACCCAUGUCACCUGUCGGAAUACCAGACACCACAGACGCACCUCUGAGGUCCCAAAACAGUCAAGAGGUGCAGACAGUUCCAUUGCUAAAGCUUUAGACUCUGCUGUUCCUUGGGACCGCCAUGGACAGAGUCACUUAGUUGGGCCACCUGAAGGUGAUUAUUUCAGAGACAUUGAUGUUCAGAGUUUUGGACUUAACAAGGAAAUCCCAAGGAAUGCAGCUGUGAAAAUGGAUAAAACUGCUAAACUGAAUAGUAAUCUGAGUGACACUUUCCUGAGAAGGAUGUACAUAACCUCAGAUGAAAGCACAUAUAACUGUUCACCAGCAAUAAGCAGGAGGACCAAAACGCUUCCUGUGAUGGUGGGGGACAGUUUGCAUUUGAAUGGAUGCUGUAAUCAAUACUUUACCUGUGAGUCUCAACAAGAUGCUUCUGUGGAUGUAGAAAACUUGCAGUCUCAAAACAAUUCUCCAAAGGAGUCUCAACUUGUCAAGGGAAGCAAGCAGAUGGGACUAAUUCAAAAUGAUUCACACGUCUCCAGCAAGCAUAGAAGGGCAACCGUCUAUGAAUCAAAUGGGGCCGUAAAGAGCAUGGAACAUCUGUUAACAGAAGAGAGCUGUUCUUGUGAAUUCUUGACUUGUUCCUUUAACGUUGCUACAAAGCCGAAAGAGCGGAAAAAGAGUAAACAGCCCACAGCCAGGACCAAGAAGAAGGUACAGCAGGAUGACUCUGAUGGGAAGGAAAGGCUUAAGACAAACUGUUUACACGGAGAGCAGGCAGUAACACUGAGUGAAAUUCAGAAUGUUGCCUCUCACCACCAGGAACAACAAGCAGAGCAAUUAGUUAAUGUCAACAGAGCCAUGAUCUCAGAACCGUCUCUGAAUUCUGCUAUUUCUAGGAGAACUUACAUUGUCUGUCUAAAUGAAGGUAAUGGUUUUAUUGGUUCCCAAGAAAAUUUGGAAGCAACUGACAUGCCAGUUGCUAACAGUGACUGUAGUGAUUUAGAGAAAUAUUCGUCUCUGACUAGGAAUGAAGCAUUCCAGGAUGUUGGUCUAUCUAAUCGCACCAUUCUUCCAAACACUGCUGGCUCGAAUUCAAGUGUUAUGUCUCACAGAAGACAAAAAUUGAGAAGUCAAGACACUUGUGUUUCUAAGUCUCAGAGAGGUUCAGCAGUAAAUAGAAAAGGAAAUGUGUUCCCUGACGAUGUACAAACAUAUGUACCAGUUAAUGGUGAGCAGGCUACAGCACCUAUUCUCAGUGGGGGUCAUGUUUCCACUGAAGAGCUCAGGCAAGAUGGAGGAUUUGUAGAAAAUGCAGAGCAGGACACAGGGGUACCAAGGGAAGCCUCGAAGAAGCUGAUAAUAGAGGAGAGGCCUUCUUGGGAGGACUUUGAUACCUCCUUUAUGCCCUGCUCUGAUUGGCCUGUCCAUAUGGAGAGUCGUGCCUCCAGCUCUUGCCAAAAACCAGCAUCUCCCAAGGUGCCUCUCAAAAGUGAGCCAGUGGCACAUAAAGCAUCAGAAGGUAAAGCUUUGAAGAGUCUUACCAACACAAACUGGGAAGUGAUGUCAGACUCUGGUAGGUCAAGAAGAAAUAGGGGAACUGUUUCUUACAAGGAGCCUUCUAUCAACUGCAAAAUGAGACGUGGGGAUAAAUUCACUGACACAAAGUUUCUGAGCUCUCCAAUAUUUAAAGACAAAAAGAAGUUGAAGAAACGCAUCCCUCAACAGAAAGCUGAUGACUCUCUGAUAGCUGACCUUUGCAUUGGUUACAUGGAUUGAAACCUUAUUGUAUGUUAUUUUAGUGCAAAUAACUUGCUGUGUUGUACUUAGAAUCCCA